rnacentral:rRNA from 1 species
GAUCAUAUCACAUUGAAGCACCAGGUCCCGUACGAUCACCGAAGUUAAGCAACGUCGAACCUGGUCAGUACCUAGAUGGGUGACCGCUUGGGAAUACCAUGUGCUGUAA